rnacentral:lncRNA from 1 species
UUUCUUUAUUAAUUAAAGUAAUUCUAGAUCUUGUUUCUAUUAAUAGCGCACAACGCUUUUCUUCAACUUUACAAGUUACCACAAGAUCUGCAAAAAUAUCGGGUUUAUUAAAUAUUAUUUAUUAUUUGGUCUAUGUAUUAAUUAGUUUAAUUAAAGCGAGAAGUGUGGAUUUCUCGUUUUUAUCUAUUUUUCUCUCUUCGCUUUUAUCUAUCUGACACUGAAUCGGCUGAUAUGAAUUCAAAACCCUCUCGCUUUAAGCGCGGGGUAAGAGAUCCCGUUUUUUUGAAAUUUCUGUCUAUUUUCCCUAUAAAAUUCAACUCUUUCAUUUUGUCUAAAGGGAAAAAGAGCCUUAUGAUCCUGCGAAAUGACCCUCAUAUUUGUCAUUAUAACAAAUUAUUCCUGGCUAUAACAAGCUGUAAAGAUUCGGUUCUAUGAGCGUUAUAAUUGUUAACACGCAGCUGUUCUCUAAGGCUAAGUCCUAAGUGCCAGCGUGAGCGUGCGUGCCGUAGCCUGUACGCGCUACAUUCCGCCUACCAUCAGGUGUCCAACGUGCCAACAUUCUUUUGAUAUGAACAGACGGCGUCAAAGCGAAAACUUCGUAUGCUAUCUGCGAUGGAAAAUAGCCUGCGAUGGAAAAGCCUACUACGUUACAGUUAUGAAAUGCAUCGAAACAAAAAUGCAAAUCAUGAUAUUUUUAAAAAUUGGUAUAAAUCGGUAGAAUUUCAUUAUUUGUAUCAUGAAAUGAGAUCGCAGGAAAGAGAAUUUUUUGAAUAUUAGCACUAAUAAUUGUACUACCUUAUCCGGG